UUCAUUUUUUCCUUUUCAUUUUUUUCCUUCCCCCCCACCUUACCUCCAGCUUUCCCUCCUGCUUUCCCUAUUACAAAAACUGGGAACAAAGCCAGCCUGGGUUUGUGCCCUCGGGUUGCAGCUUGCACUCAGGCAGCCCUGCUCUGUUCACAUCGGGAGAAGUCUCACCUCCCCACCGUCCCCGUGUGCCCAAAGACAAACCCAGAGCCAGGUUAAUGCCGGAGGGGCUUUAGCACUGGGAAACCCUGCGCCAGGGGAAGCUCUUCUCAGGAGAUGAGGCUAGCAGCUGGAUUUUGGGGGCUACCAUCAGGCAGCAGGAGGCACGCACCCUGCUUCUGCACUCACCACUCCUUGCCUGCUCAAGUGACCGACUCUGCCGUGCCUCAGUUUCCCCAAGCAUUAAACAGAGGGAGAGCAAAAAAUAACCUGGCUUGCCUUCACGAAGCACCAGCACUUCAGGAGGAUAAAGAAGCACGUGAGUGGCCGGUGAAGGACUGGGAACGAUGUCACCUGCCAACACCGCCUGCCCGCCUGCCAUGCUGUCAGAUACAGAAGUGCUUCUUGAAAUGGGGAAGCUGCCCGUGAAAUACACCCAGAAAUCUCAAUAAAAGGAAGUGCGUUGAGCCCAGAUCAGAAGGAUGUGCCUCUCCUCGGCUUCAUUUCGAAACAGUUCAUUAUUUUUUUCUGCAGGUAUUUACCAAACUUCCCCUAAGCGAUCACAAACCAAGUGAGCACAGACACUGAUCCCGGCCUCGCUCUGUGGCCCCUCUGACGCUGUCACACUGCGUUUGCUGAGCUCGGGGCUGGGGAGACGAUGCAAGAGAUUCACCACAAAAGGCCUCUGUUGCUCAAAAGGAGCACGUCCCAGCCCUACAAGUACUUACAGAGUAGUUAGGUUCAAGCCAGAGGACGUUCCUCUGGGCUUCAUCGCCACUGUCCCCAUGCUCCGAAUGGCACAUGCACCUACAGGGCUUUACUUUUCAGGACAGGACCCGUCUGCUGGGAAACACCAGGAGGGAAGCAAGGAAGAGCCCCCCACAUCGCAGCUGGAGGAAAAGCAGUCCCACAGCACCAUCCUGCAGAACAGAGGCACUUCUGUCCUCUCUCCUCCCGCGCUCGCCGCCCAGCCCAGGUGCAGCAGCCUGUAUCUCACCACACCGCCAAGAACAGCCCCAACCCCACAGCUGCACGCCUCCUUUCGCAGCAGCAAACCUCCUGGUCCCACCAGGAAGCGGGCAGGAGCGCAGCGGACACAGGAAGAAAAACAAAGAAUUAAUUCAUCUCCUUUUUUAUUACUUUUCGGUGGGGGUGCGUGGCACGCGCUUAGGAGAACCACCACAAAUCCCCGCAGCAAACCCGCACCCCGAUACGGGAGCUGGGAUGCCCCAAGCACCCCGACAGCCGCUGACAGCCACCGGGGAGCUUCCCAGGGCUGCUCCCAGCAGCAGGGUCAGCGGAGAGGUGAGAGGCCAGGAGGGAGCAAGGCGGGCCGGGCUGCUGCGGGAAGGAGGCGGGAGUCCCCGGGAGAUAGGGCCACACCAGUUCCCGUUAAUUACACAACCCUCUGCUAUGUAGGGCUGGUUGCAAAAUCAGUCAGAGGAUAACACAUGGUCUGGUGGGGGGGGAGGAAAAACUAGGAGAAAAGACUCCAUUGCUAACAAAGAAAUGCAUCCGAAGCAGUUUUCCCCAAAUACUCGGCGAUGCAAGCAGUACCAGCCAGGCCAAGCAGCAGCAUGGGCUCCAACAGGCAGCCGUGCUGAGGAUUGGCCCUUUGUAGGGCCAGCGUGGUCUCCAGAAGCCGUGCCCGCAUGUCAGAGGGGGGAUCCCACCCAGAGCAGACCCCCCCUUGCAGGAACAGCCUCUGCUGCUCCAGCGUGGGCCAAGCCCUGCCCAGCAAGGGCGGCUUUAGGGCCAGAAACCCCGCAGCCUUCUCCCUGCCACCCAACCCUCUCUGCCCAUCCUGACACAUCCCAGACCUCUUCACCAUGGGCAAGCCCCACUUCGAAACCAGCACCUGCCCAGCCUCCCAGGAGCCCCAUUUCAGCGGAGAAGGGGCCACCAGCUGGCGCAGGCAGCCCAACAGCCUGAUGAAGAGGGUUGCCUGUGUCCCCUCCGUCCCCAGUUCCCACUCGGCACGCUCCGUCAGCACUCGUUUUCGGGCAGCCAAGCGCAAAAGCCAGAACAGGCAGGCAGAGAUAAUCCAAGGAAAUUGGGCGUCUAGCAGCCAAGAGCAGCACAGUAUCUCCUUCUCAGCAGAGCAGCCAGUUGCAAGCUCCAGAAGCGUGCUGUCAAGAGGGCCGUGCGUCUCGUCGGCACGGUUAGCUGGGGUGCUGCGAUUUCUGGGGAGGGAAGAGCAGGGUCGGAGCGCUGAGGACCUGCCAGGUCUGGCGACACUAGAAAACACCUGGGGUGAAGCAGGGGAUGUACAGCCAUGCAGAGGUGCCACCAGAAGGCAGAGCAAGCCCUUGGAGGUGGGAUCAACCUGCCCUGCCUGCACCCGCAGCUGCCUCUGGCAGCGGCACGAGGAUGCUCCCGAGCCAAGGAGUGACCCCAGGGCAGGCAGGGAGGGGAUGCAGUGGGCAGGGGCUGCCCUGGCAGGGGCUUUCUCCCAGCCCACGUACCCCAAGGGGCAGCAGGGCAGAGGAGGCGGGAGGUGCUCGGGAAGGGCUCCGCAGCAGGGCGCCUGGCCCUGUGCUCACCCUGCAGCCACGUGGGGCGGCACCACAGGCGAGAGAUGUCGGGGGCUGCAGGGGGUCUGGCUCCCAGGAGGAGCACGUAUGAUUGUGGGCCGAGUCCAAAGAGUCAACAAACACCAUGUCAGGAGUCUGAGGAGCUUGGCUCGGGAACAACGAUGACUUUCUUCCUAUGACAUCCAGAGAAGCAGAAACAAAAAGGAGAGAGAGCUGGAGCUGGAAGGAGCAGCCCUCAUCCCUCAUCCCACCCGCUGCCCUCUCACCCACAUGCAGGACAGAGGAGGGACCCAUCCUGUUCUGUCCCCUUGGAGCAUUUUAUGGGCAGAUCAUAAGCCCAAAAUCCCACGGCGUUUGCUUCAUCUGCCAGUGAGAGGGGAUAUGGGAGCCUGCAAGCAUGGUGAGAGACGGUGUUGGUGCUCCAGGAGCAAUACAAUGAGGAAAAGGAAUGAGGGGACCGAGGGAGAAGGGAGCAAAAGGAAAAUGAAAGAUGGGUUUUAAAAAGGGAGAAGGAGGGCAGCAAGCACUGGGGGUGCAAGCAUGAGCCAGUGCAGCACCAUUAAGAGCAGAGGUGGCCAAGCGACUCUCCCAUGGUGUGGCGCUGCCCCAUGCAACGCAGGCACUUCUAGCAGCCGCUAAUCCCUGCCUCACACUGCCAGGCUGGUUCUCCUGCUAGGGUUAGGUGGGCUAAGGGAUAGGAAGGAAGCCCCAGGCAUCAUCUGGCAAUUCCACUUCCAAGCCUCACGGGAAGACAGCUUAUCCCAGCUCGCAGAAAGCCAGCAUCCAUCCAUGCCUCCCCUGCUGGAGCCGGGCAAAAAGAUGGAGCCACCAUGGAGGGGCAGGGAAAAGUGCUGGGGUGCAUCCAAAAAGCCUGAAGGCCAGCACAUGCCUCCACCAAGUGGGAAAAUGGUGAUUAAUUCUGCAGAGCCAGACCUCAUACGGAGCUGGAAGGAGCCUUUCUGCCAUUAAAGGUGGAUGGAUCCAGAAAGAUGGAUUGGGGCAAACACAAGCAGAAGCUGCAUGCAGGACCACGUCAACUGGAGAGGAAAAGAGGAGCGAGAAAUGCCGGCCUGAGGAAGGAGAAGCCCCUCAGAGCAGGGGAGCACACAGUGGAUAACACAUGAGCCUUUCCUCAGGCAUAGCUGAGCUCGGGCCCCGCUGCUGUCAGCUCCCUUACGGAAGUUAAGUGGCAACUGCAAGGAGGCGCCUGCUUUGAAACCGUUCCAGCAGCUGGUUUCAAUUAUUGCUUCCGAUUUUAUUGCAGGGGGGGAGGAACUUUGCCCUUCACAAAUGGAUGGCAGUUGUGGUUGCUUGGGAUGUGUCAAUAGCUCAGGGUUUGUCAAUGUUAAUGGCUCCAGAGCAACCUUUCGUUGGAAAGGAAACUGCUUUUGCAGCGAGAAAAAAGCACAUGCAUGCGCAUGCACCGAAGGAGAGAUCAUAUUUUCCACCCCGUCUGGCAGGAGCUUGAUAAAACAAAUUGCACAUAGUGUCUAUUUAGCAGCAGCAAGCAACAGAUACCUAGGGCUGGGAGAGGGGUUGCUUGGUAAUGCAGAAAAAAUCCCUAGCAAAGGGUUCGUUUGCAAAAUGAGCUUGUAAGGGAAAGAACCAAAGACUUCCAGCUGAUGCAAACUGGCACAGCUUCACCACAGAGAGUGGGGUGGUGCUGAUACACGCUAACCAAAACAUCGGGCCUGUAUUUCCAUGCAAUAACAAGAGAAAUCCAAAUAAAUCCAGCUCCAAGUGAACCAACCCUUGCACAUCUCAGACCAGGUGCUCCUGGGUGGCUGCAAGCUUUCAGCCCCCCGGUGCCAGUGGGUCACCAGUCCCUGCAUGGGGUUCCCUUUGGGUUCGUUAAUAAAUUCAGCCCACGUGUUUCUCUGCCCAUGUAGUCCCUGGACAGCUCUCAGACACGGGGCUGGUGUGAAGCUCCUCUGCGGCAGGGCAAAUCCACGUAGCUCCGUCUCCAGACGCCGCUGCUCAUCCCAUACAACCCAAUAUUGCACCGUCAGCACCAGCCCUGCCUCCACGCCAGCAGCACACCCCGCAGGUGACUGAACGCAGCCGAUAGCAGAAGAUGCCCAGCCCGGCAGAGGAUGAGGAUGGGUGCUGCCAGCCACCCUGCCUGCGUGCUGCGAGCCCCCAGAGACCCCGCUGCAGACCUGCCCGUGAGAAAGGCAGCCCCGAGUGCUGAAACCUGGGAUUAAGGCACUCCGGCAGCUGCCUCGCACAUCUGGUGCGUGUUAGGAGAGAUACAUGGCAAGGAAAGCACACACGGGCGCCAAGCAGAGCUAGUUAACCCCUUGGUAGCUGAGCCUCCUCGGAGCACCCAGGCAGCCCGAGGACAGGGAUACCUGCUAAGCCUCAACCCAGAUCUCAGCAGUGGUCCAUGCUCGCUAGGUGAUUUGGGAACUCAGCAAUUCAGGUGCCUAAACAUAUGUGCAGUGCCAUUGGAGAUGCCUCAAUCUGUGUAAAACACCUGCUCAAGGCCUGGCAGGUGUCACACAGGUCCGAUAAGAACUACCUGUAGCUGGCACCCAACAGAGGGCAAAUAUCAUGGUUAAGGCACCUCUUUCCCUUCGCAAACAAAUGGCAUCCUUCCAAAGGAUGCUGAAACACCUCCCCAGGGGGUCCAAAGCCUCAGUCCUGGGAGGAGCAUGUCAGACUCGGGUUAAGAGAGCAGAAACCUCAGCCACAGCUAUGGGAGGCCAAAGCUCAGUCCAGACUCCUGGUACUCCUUGUGGCACGGAGGGACAUGCUUUAGUGAUGCUGGACAAAGGCCGAGCAGAGCUCACCCCCUCCUGGGGUGCGGCCAAAGGAUGCUGGAGGGGCUGGGUGACCCCAUGGCAUGGGCUCCAGCAGUAGGGGGGCUGGCAAAACCUCCUGGAUUGGCCCCAGGACACCCAGCCCCACAGCAAGCUGUCUCCAGAACCCACAGAGAAGGGAAUCCCACAGGCUUCAGAGCCAGAUUUCACCCCAAGUGUUUUUAAACCAUUUUAAAAUACACAGUUGUGUUUUUUUGUUUGGUUGGUUUUGGUAGUCCAUGCUCAGCUAACCCCUCUGGCUAGCACAUCCUUCAGUGAUUAAAAAAAAUCAAAUAAAAGCUCCUGGGCAAUCCCCUAUUAACACUCACCACCCCUAAACCCCCAGCUUUACAUUGCAAAAUAGGCAAGACAAGCCAGGGUUUCCUGCAAGGAGAAAGGGGCAGCAAAGGCACCUGAUACGUCCCUAUAUUUAGAGGCAGCUCUUCAUCCCUUAUGCCCCUGCCAGAGCACCUACAUCUAAUAUGGAAUGCUGCAAUAUUGCCCAGCUUCAUUAGAGCUUCCAGCUGGAGUCUGCUGGCCCUCCCCUGUGUGUUCCCCCACUCUUCUUCACUCCGAUGCUCCCAGCUGGGUCAAACUCGGAGCGGUCACCCCGUGCGGGGCUCAGCCAUCCCUCCCCAAGGAAUCCCAUGUGCCGAGGGCUCUCCCCAUAUCAGCUUUCCUGGCCACCUCCUUCCAGCCACGGGUAUACUUAGCAACAAGACUCAUCUUCGCAGGGACCCUCGAGACUCCUCUAAGGAUCUGGAGAAUUCAAGACAGCUGGGGACAGGACGUGGCUGAGCAAAGCCUGGGGCUUGCUGGUGCGGUGGAGCCCUUCCCUGGGUGCUGACCAUACAAGGGCUGCUGAGGGCUUCCUGCAGCUCCCGGGAGGGCAACCCCACAGGGAAGGUAGCAGGGACUCGGGAGAAGCUGGCUUCUCAUCUCUGAGCUCCUUGCUCUGCAGCUGGACCUGCUUCGUGAGCCACGCUCAGGUGGCCAUGUCCUGCAGGGCAGGCUUCACGUCAGGUGCACAGCCCCGAGCCUCCCCAGAGAGCAAGGGCAGCUCGUGGAAAAGUGUAACUCCAGCUGGUUUUUGGUGGCGUUACACCAGCACAAGCAAGGUUCUGCCAGCAUGCCUCCAGUCACACGGGGACAAGGGGUAAGCUGCAUCCAGGCUGGGAUUGCCUUAACAGUUAUACAAGUGUAAGCCUUCCCUACUGUAAAUUCCUCCUCUAUAUACGCUGGGCAGAUUUCAAGGCUCAUUAAGCAAACCCAACUCCUUUUUUCCUCCCCCAUAUCUCCAAUGUAUGCAUACAUUGCCACCAGAGAGCCUUGGGAUUGGCUUCCCUGGCAGCUCCAUCCCACUGCUCCCUCCUCCAGCACUCCUCACACUGUCUUAGGUGCACUGCCCUGACUCCAUCUAUCCAUCCAUACACUGAUGGCCUUGAGAAGAGCUCCUGCCUGAGGUGAGGAGAGCAGAGAGCUGAGCUAACCACAGGCAUAGAAGAGGUAGCCCCAGGCAGCAAACACAGACUUCCUUCCUCCCUUUGCGGGGUGGAAAUUUUGAGAGCUUGGCAAACAUGUAAAUAGCGCAAGCAAAAGGAGGAGUUCAGAGCUGCACAUGAAACCAGUACACAAAUCAGGAGGGAAAGCAAUUCUCCAUUUUCUUAAACCAAAAAACCAAAAACUACUUUUGUUCUCUAUUUUUUUUCCAUCCAUUAAUAUUUCAUUAAAAUUCAUCUGAAGGGAAAGGGCUGCACCACCUUUAAUCAACAUCCAUGCACACACUUUAUCAGCAAGUUUCAAAAAGACUUUCAAUGCUAUAAAACAGGUGCCUUCCUAUCUGUUUAUCUGAAGCUCCAGGAGAAAACAGAGAAAGGAAACACCUAGCCCUGCCCCACCAGGGACUCCUGCUGCAUGGCCCUGGUUGAGCCAAUAUACAUGCACCCAUUGAAGGGGCUCAGCCACCCCAAAAAGGCUCCUUCCCCCUGCAAGGCAAUGAGCACUGCCUGGAAUUACACCUCAGCACCCCCCCCCCAGCAGUAAAGCUUUCCCCUUUGUUUCUGCAGGCAGCUAUGCACUGAGGCUCCAGCACCUUUUUGAAGCCUCCAGUCAAGCCUUCAGCCAGGGCUAAUUGCUGUCAGGUGUCAGCCCAAACACUCAGUGCAGCCGUUAGCAAUAGGAGAUGACACACCUUUCCCCUCUCCUUGUCACUCAGGGCUGUUUUUUUUCUCUCGACGUGAAGUGUGCUGCCUUUCAGCAGCCUUACGGAGAAAUGCUAAUGUGAGCUUUGAAGUUGGAGGAGAAAAUCAGGCAACCCCCAAGCUCCAAGGAUGCUCAGCCUGACCUGGCUGCGUCCAAAUCUGAAUAUUUCUGUAGGAUUCCUCGGCCAAGACUAUCACUGCCUCCCCCUAUUGCAGACAGCUGCAGUUUGGUCUCUGCUGCUGGUCUUUUUCCCCUUAACCCCAAUGUAAAACUGCCUGCUGUGGAGUGAACAGAGUACGAAUUUUACAAUCUGUUGAUAAAGCAACAAAGCAGACCGGAGGAAUGGGGAGAUGUGUAAGCUGACAAAAGACAGCAGCCAGCCUGAAAAAUGUCCAGGUUAAUUCAGUUUAGAGGUGUAGUGGACACAAAAGAAAUCAGACUGCCAAGGCAGCGCCACCUCCCAGCCCCAUCCCACAGCCACGUUAGCUCCUGGUGUCACAGAUCCUGAGCAUGGUCCUCCAAGCAGCAGCAAAGGCAGCAGGUGAGAGCAAAAGGGGUCUGGAUAUCCCUCCUGCGAGGGGUCUGGCUUCCUCCCGCCUCCCAUCUCCUUCCCACCAAAGUCACCACCUGUGCACGCACAGAGAGGACACAUCCUGCAGCAGGGUCUGCCCCAAUUCACCUUAAAGAUAGGGCUAAUUUCAACUCUGGAGCACCACGCAGGCCCAGGUCUUGGAGCCAGACCCCUUGCUGGACUUGCAUGGGGCUGGAGUCCAGGUUCCCUGCUGGAUCAACCCCCCCCAGUGGCUUUGAAGUUUGAAGGAGAUGGGUAGGACCUUUAAGAAAUCUAAGGCUCUCCCUAGCUGGAGGGCCUCACCAACGCCCUGCCAGGGCAUCUGAUCACCUUCAUGUCCCAUGGAUCCUCUUCAUACCGGCCCCGCUAUCCUUCUUCCCCCCCAACACCUCCCCUCCCAGCUCCCCAUCCUCCCAGAUUCAUUGCCACUGGGCUCCCCAGUCCCCAG